GAUGAACGCUGGCGGCGUGCCUAAUACAUGCAAGUCGAGCGAACGGACGAGAAGCUUGCUUUUCUGAUGUUAGCGGCGGACGGGUGAGUAACACGUGGAUAACCUACAUAUAAGACUGGGAUAACUUCGGGAAACCGGAGCUAAUACCGGAUAAUAUUUUGAACCGCAUGGUUCAAAAGUGAAAGACGGUCUUGCUGUCACUUAUAGAUGGAUCCGCGCUGCAUUAGCUAGUUGGUAAGGUAACGGCUUACCAAGGCAACGAUGCAUAGCCGACCUGAGAGGGUGAUCGGCCACACUGGAACUGAGACACGGUCCAGACUCCUACGGGAGGCAGCAGUGGGGAAUCUUCGGCAAUGGGCGAAAGCCUGACCGAGCAACGCCGCGUGAGUGAUGAAGGUCUUCGGAUCGUAAAACGCUGUUAUUAGGGAAGAACAUAUGUGUAAGUAACUGUGCACAGCUUGACGGUACCUAAUCAGAAAGCCACGGCUAACUACGUG
rnacentral:rRNA from 1 species